CUUCCGUUAGCACUACCUUAAAAGGAAAAGAGCCAGAUAAAGAGAACGGUUAAAAGUAUGAGAAAGGGCAGAAGCUACUGGUCUCAGGAAGACAGAGAAAGACACCAAAGAAGAAGUCACUAUUAUGAGGGACCACACACCAGCCACUCAAGCAGUGGGGGCUGGACACGUGAGGAGGUAGUGACGCCGCCACUGCCGGAACACGCUGCUGCAGGCUCCCCGAUGGCCAUGUCUGUGGUGAGUGCUUGGGCCGCGGCAGGUCUGCUGGGCGCCGGACUCCAGUGGCUGAUUGGAGGGACUCCGGGGCGGUCUGGUUGCUGCUCACGUGGAUAGGUGACGAAUCACGGCCCGGCUCUGUACUGCGGGGCGGGACCCACGUUUUGCUGCCCGCCCUGCCGGCCCCAACCCCGCCUGGUUUGCGGUCGCUUUCUGGUCCCGGAAAGGAGCCUGAGCUGGGAAAUAGCGAGAGGCGGGGGUGUUGGGAUUUGUUGUUUAUGGCUUGCAUUCUCUUUUCUUGAUUAUCUUCCUAAAAUCACUUUCAGUCACCUGACAAAGAAACUGGCGAUUCAUUGUUCUUAAUUCAGUAAUAGACUGGGCCCCGUAAAUGAAUGAGAAGGAAGGUAUUCCUUAAUUCUCCGGCACGAACGUCAACAGCGUUGGUUUCUUCGGUUUCACAGUUCUUAUGCAAACAGCAGUGAAUGUUCACGUAGUGUGGGAAAGUUUCCUAAGUGGAGCUGCCAGUUUUUCAAGUAGUUGAACUACUUUGGGGUGUGUGUGUGUGUGUGUGUGUGUGUGUGUUUUCCGUUCAACAACUUUGGAGUUUGGCCCUAACAUCUCAGUUGAAAAAGAGAAAACACUUGCCUAGCUUAUUCAGUGACAGUUUUCGCCGCUGUCUCUCCUUUUCUAAGGGUCAGGUGAUGUCAUUUUCAUUGCCGUGAAUGUUUGUAAAAUAUUGAAAGUCUAAAGUACUUACUUGCCAGGAAAAGAUUAUAAAUUUAUAUGUAGAGACUGAAAAAGACUCAGAUUCAUUGAGAAGAUUAUGUCCUAAAGACAUGCACUGAAAAUUAGUGAAAAAUUUUAAAAUUGCAAACUUUAGAGUCCAGCCUUUAAAAUGUCUGAAUUUAUAUGAAAGAAUGUGGACUAUAUAUAGAACUACAUGGUGGUUGAAAUGAAUCAUCAGCUUCUGUCAGUGGUUUUGUGUUUGUGAGGGGUUGAAAAGGUUGGUAAUCUAUACUUCUGGAAUUUUUCUUGUAGGAUUUUAAAACUUAUGUAGAUCAGGCAUGUAGAGCUGCUGAGGAGUUUGUCAAUAUUUACUAUGAGACAAUGGAUAAAAGAAGACGGGUGAGUGUUAUAGACUCUACUACUCUUUUUAGACUACUACUCUUUAUUAAAUACCAGGUCGUGUCUGGAGCCAGCGUUUCAUCUGCCUUGCAUAAGUGGUAACUGUGGACUUACCCUUUAAAAGCAAAUUGCU
rnacentral:lncRNA from 1 species